rnacentral:rRNA from 1 species
AGUGAACGCUGGCGGUAGGCCUAACACAUGCAAGUCGAACGGCAGCACAGGAGAGCUUGCUCUCUGGGUGGCGAGUGGCGGACGGGUGAGGAAUACAUCGGAAUCUGCCCAGUCGUGGGGGAUAACGUAGGGAAACUUACGCUAAUACCGCAUACGACCUUCGGGUGAAAGAGGGGGAUCGCAAGACCUCUCGCGAUUGGAUGAGCCGAUGUCGGAUUAGCUAGUUGGCGGGGUAAUGGCCCACCAAGGCGACGAUCCGUAGCUGGUCUGAGAGGAUGAUCAGCCACACUGGAACUGAGACACGGUCCAGACUCCUACGGGAGGCAGCAGUGGCGAAUAUUGGACAAUGGGCGCAAGCCUGAUCCAGCCAUACCGCGUGGGUGAAGAAGGCCUUCGGGUUGUAAAGCCCUUUUGUUGGGAAAGAAAUCUUUCAGGCUAAUACCCUGGGAGGAUGACGGUACCCAAAGAAUAAGCACCGGCUAACUUCGUG